GGAUGUGAGGCAAUCUGGCUGCAACAUCUGUCAUCCCGCUGCUCACCACGGUUGAUUCAGCUGAUCUUGCUGUGUCCCCUUCCUCUCUCACUGGUCCAUGGCCAUCCCUGCCAAAGCUGCACACUUGUUCAAAGAGAAUAACCUUCCCCAAUAAAGGGGGACCAUUCUGUGGUCAAGGGUAUACAAGUAGCUGUGCUCCCCUGCUAGAACCUCCAAACAGCUCUCAAGGUCCAUCAGGUAAAUGCAGAUUAAAACCACAACAUAAUAGAAAUAGAUAGGUAUUAACCAGGAUAGUCU
rfam:Canis lupus familiaris chromosome 24, whole genome shotgun sequence.